rnacentral:rRNA from 1 species
UUCCGGUUGAUCCUGCCGGAGGCUACCGCUAUUGGAGUUCGAUUAAGCCAUGCGAGUCGCGAGAAUUAGAUUCUCGGCGUACCGCUCAGUAACACGUGGGUAACCUGCCCUAUGCUGGAUAAUAACCUCGGGAAACUGAGAAUAAUGAUCUAUAGUUCACUACGCCUGGAACGGUGAGUGGAUGAAAGCCCCGGCGGCAUAGGAUGGGCCUGCGGCGUAUCAGGUUGUAGGGGGUGUAAUGUACCCUCUAGCCCUCUACGCGUACGGGUGUUGAGAGACAUCGCCCGGAGAUGGAUUCUGAGACACGAAUCCAGACCCUACGGGGUGCAGCAGGCGCGAAAACUUGGCAAUGCGAGAAAUCGUGACCAGGGAACUCCAAGUGCAUGGGGUAAGACCUAUGCUUUUCCAGACUCUAAAAAGGUCUUGGAAUAAGAGGUGGGUAAGGACGGUGCCAGCCGCCGCGGUAAUACCGGCGCCUCAAGUGGUAGUCGCUUUUAUUGGGCCUAAAACGUCCGUAGCCGGUCUGAUACAUUCGUGGGUAAAUCAACCAGCUUAACUGGUUGAAUUCUGCGAGGACGGUCAGACUUGGGACCGGGAGAGGUGUGGGGUACGCUCAGGGUAGGGGUAAAAUCCUGUCAUCCUGAGCGGACCACCUGUUGCGAAGGCGCCACACUAGAACGGAUCCGACGGUCAGGGACGAAGCCUAGGGGCAUGAACCGGAUUAGAUAUUCGGGUAGUCCUAGGUGUAAACGCUGUGGACUUGAUGUUGGGGGUGCUCCGAGCACUCUCAGUGUCGAAGCGAAGGCGAUAAGUCCACUGCCUGGGAAGUACGGUCGCAAGGCUGAAACUUAAAGGAAUUGGCGGGGGAGCACCGCAACCUGAGGAUUGUGCGGUUUAAUUGGAUUCAACGCCGG